rnacentral:lncRNA from 1 species
ACCCAUUAAGGCCGGGGGCACGGAACAUCCUGUGCAAAUUAGCUGCUAACUAAUUCCAUCGCAUUAGUCAUUAGCCAUAAUAAGAAAGCACAGAACAAACAAAUAAAACUAACAGAUGUUAUGAUAAUUUCAAACACCGAGUUGCAAGCGAAUCUGCUAGAGUUCACCAACACAAAAAUAAAAUAUUACCUUUGAUAUACCAGCAAGUGUUUGAAACGUGGGAAGUUUUAUCUGACACACCGGUAACCUAACAUCUAUCUAUUGUAACACCAUAGGUGGAAGCAAGUACAAUCUAUAGAGUAUGAAUAGAGAAGGUAAACCUUAGUGUUAUUG